CCGCCCGCACGACCUCCUCCUCCUCCUCCCGCAGCCGCGCCGUUCGCCUCCCGCAGCCGCGCCCUUCACCGCCUCCUCGCGCCGCCGGAGCCACGGGAAGCGGCCGCGGGUCGCCAGGAGCCUCCCCGACCGCGGGAGCCCGCCCCGCUCCCGCCGCGGCUCGUCGGGAGCCUCCCCUGCCGCCGAAGCCGCCCCGCCGCAGCUUGGCCUCCGCCACUCCGCCACUCCGCCGGAGCGAGUCUCUCUCCUCUUCUCUUGGGAUGGGACGCCUUCUCUCCUCUGCUCCCAGCCGGAUCCAAUCCACCUCGCCCCAGCAUGCAGCCACGGAAGGCCAGGUCCGUGCGCCUCUUUCCCAUGGCCAUGGAGUCGCCGCAGCCGCCAUGGAAUGCCUGGAUGUCGUCAAGGUCCCUCUUCUCCUCUCCCAACUGGACUCUUGAUUGUUUUGGAUUUGGCGGCUCCCCUCACUCACACCCUCCCUCCCUGAUGCAGAUGCACGCAGGUGCAGCACCUACACCGAUGGCUGCUCUUGAGACACAGACAACAUAGGAGAGGACAAGUCCAGAAUUGCUAGACUGAAUCUAUCCAUCUGCUCUGCUCUCGGGACAACAGAGGAGAGGACGAGUCCAGAAUUGCUUGACUGAAUCUAUCCAUCUGCUCAGCUCAGUUCAUGCAGGUCAGGUCACAUCACGGAGGGAUUCCUGCGAAUCUACAUUCAACUUCAAUUAAUUUAUUAUUAGUACUAGGUGGGUGUGAGAAAACUGAAAUUUUUAGAUGCAUGCUUGCUUGGAUGCGUGUCACACAACACUGUUUGCUCGUCUCAACUCUGUGUUUUUGCUUCUGUACCAACAUCUUCUCAACUUUGUGUUCUAUUUAUGGAAAUUGUAGAGGCUAGAGACAUAGCAAUCGUCAGGCUUCAGUUUUGUACUGACCACUCCAAGGCUUGUUCAACCUGGUGAAUCUUUCCUUCAUCUGCAUCAUUUUUCGCUUCAGUCUGUACAUCCUCGCCCUCCGCACAUCCUCGCCCUCCGCCCGCCGAUCCUAUUCUCCGCCGCCCGCCUUCCUCUGCUCAUCCUCUGCCGCCGCCGAUCUCAUCUGAGCCAGUAAGUUUUCUUUACAUUCAAGUGUGCAUUGUUUGAACAACAUGCUUGUGGUUCUAUUCUUUCCACACAAGAUAAUCUGAUACAUACAUGAUCCUUCUGGUUAUGAUUAUUUUAGUGCAUACAUACAUGAUUCUACCACACAGCAGGAACAAUUAUUCUGGAACAAUUGCCGUAUGUGAAUUAUCAUGAUCCAACGCCAAUGCCACACUCAGCGCCAAAAGGGUUACAGUUUAUGAGGACAUAUUUAAUUAGUGAGGAUUUCAGAAAUUUGUAGUCCAAGCAACUCAUACAUUUGAAGUUUUGUUGCUUACCUUCCCAUCCCAUUGUGUUGCUAUGCUCCUGAAGUUGCCUAACUACAGGAAAGGAGGCCAAAGUUUUGCUAUAUUGGGUUAUCCACAAUAGUAUCGGCAGCGAUGUUUUGUUUUGUCACAACUACUCAAAUAUAUAAUCUAAAUAAUCUAAAUAUAUAAUCUGCACAUUGUAGUUUGAGUUAAAAAAUAGCACAUUGUAGUUUUAAUUUUAUUUUUUUUAAAACCCACGUGUUUUGUUGUUUCAAGAGAUUGAGUCAUGGGCUGUGAGCAAGCAUUAUAUAUUGACAUGAAAGGUAGAUCUAUUUAGAUCAUGAAGGUUUGCGCACCGUGAUGCAAAGGCCGUAUGCAUCGACGAGGCGAAGGUGGGGCUUACCGGGAUGGGUUGAGAGGAGGCAGUGGAGAGAGGAAAUGGGAGAGGCGGAUGGUGAAUAUAGGAGGUGAAAAAGGAUGCAUCUACUUAGUCCUUCUGUUGAAUGCAUAAAAGGCACCCUGCAGCCUCUCUGCUUGCAAAAUAGAUGCUCUCUGCUUGGUACACUCAUGACAUUAAACCUUUCAUCUCCAGUUAGAGAUGCAACUUGAAUUGACCUAAAAAAUUCUAUUUUUGAGUAUUACCUUCUUCCACACCUCUGCAACAUCUUCUGAAGCCUCUACUCUUAACCAGUAUGCUGCUAUCACUUUCUCAAAUUUUAUACGGGAAAAUAAUGUAGUAGUUUUUUUAAAAAAAUUGUGCAAGCUAAUAUGUUUCAAGAUUCAUGAAACAUAUGUUUCAACAUUCAAAAGUUUACAUAAAAACCAUAUGCGGCAAAACUAAAUGACAUUUUGAAAUAUAUAAUUUUGACAGAAUGAAAACAAAUUCAGUUUCCUCUUCCUCCCUAACUACGCAUACUUUAUUUCUACAGGUACAAAUAUUGCCACUCAUCAACAUCUGCAGCAUCUAAGGUCCUUUUCGUCACAUAUUCAUAUUUACUUGAGAUUCUGCUUACUUUGUUUGCACCAUUUAAUAAUUGAGCUUCUCAAUAUUGCAUGAAUAUUUCUAAUGAUGUACGAUGUUCCCCAUUUCUUUAACAUCCCUGGCAUGUGUGUGCUCCAUUAGUGAAUGACAAAUUUCUGAAUUUUUGUGAUGAACAAUGUUUACGUUCGUUUAGGCAGCUCACCGGCAUCCAUCAUGGUUUGCUAUUUUAGAAUUAAUCAAGAUUACCUUUCAGGCUUCUUCCGUUGCCUAGCUAAUUCCCUCCUUGUAGGCCAUGUUGUGGUCUGAAAUUGAACGUAUACAUAUGAUCCUGGUUUUUCUACACCGCCAACUUUACUAUUGAUUAUUCCUAGAACCUUAAGUUGAUCUGAAUAGACAUAGCGAAGUAGAUGCAAACUUCAGGAUAAAAGCAUGUAUAUCAUGGAAUGAUAGGAAGAGGGCUCUGAGCUAGACAUGUUGAUUAUACUGUUUAAUGUUAGCUCCAUCAAUACUGAUACAUAUACAAUUUCCUGUUGUAGAUAGGUAAAUAUUUUGCAAGUAAUGUAAUUUGGUAAAUAAGCUAAAGUAUUAACCUUACUGCUAUCUCAAAGUAUGAUGCGAUUAUUCAGUAUCCAUUGCCUGAUAUAGUCAGUCAGAGGCAUCAAAUCAAAUCUCCCUUAAAUGAUUAAAUCAUUUAACUGCACAUCACAAGUAUCAGCCUCCAUCUGCCACCAAUAUUGCAAGAAACAAGGCAUGCUGAUCUAAUAACCAUCUUUAUAUAUAUUUUUAACCUAACAAGUGAGCUGAUGAUCAGGAAAUCAUGUUUAACUAUCAAUAAAUGAUCCCAUUUCUUGGUUCAGUGAAGUGAUUAUGUGGAUCUUGUGAGGAAAACAGAUAGGCCAAGAAGCCUGGGAGGUUGUCUACAGUCACUGGCCUGGUAUGUGACCUGCUUGCAUCUUCUAAAUUAUCUUCUAAAUUAGUAUGAAUUUUUUCUGCUCAAAAACAGUUUUCUAUGAUAUUUGUAAUUUCCACGUUUCGAUUGAGCUUCUUACGAUCUAUCAGUAAGGCCUCUCAGGUUUUAGAUUUGUGAUUAGAUCGUUGCAUAUAAGCCAAAAUGAGUCUAUGAUAAGGGAAAUAAACUGGCUACGCUUACCGUAUGGAUGAAACUGAAGAGUGAAGUGAUAUUUCUUUCUACCAUUGCAUAGCUUUACCAUCACCGAUCCAUGUUAAGUGUGAUUUGUUUCUCUGUACAUUAUUCGGAUACAAAGGAUUCGAGCUGAAAAGAAGAUGCAGUGGAGAACAUUAUCACAAGUUAGCAUUUCCUGUGAAACGAAGACCAUUAUAUAUAACAUUGAUUAAUUUGUAAAAAAAUGCUGAUAGCCAAAGGUUAAUGCUGAUAGACCAUUAUAUAUAAACACUUGAAAUAAUUCAGUUAUGGUUUCUAUCAAUAUAUUGUUUCUACUACAUAUAUAUAUUACUUUUAGCUGCGCAAUUUCGUCCGACAGCCAAAGGCUUGUCUAUUAGUAUCUUUUGUAUUUGAUGGGAUCUUGUAACGAGAAAAAACCUUCGGAGCAAGAAACAGGAAACUAAAGGCUUGAUAGUAUUGUACUAUUUUAUCUCACUGGAAAAUUAUGUGUACUCAUUAAUACGUGCAUUUGCACGUACACGAUUACUAGUAGCAAAGGAAAACACAUACUCGCGGAAAGCGCCUCCACUUACGCUGACUUGGUCGUGCUUCUGGUCGCUUACAGGUGGGUUUGAGGCGACACGGGCCUGCCUGGCUCACCUUCGUCUUCUUCCUCGCCCUGCCACACACAGGAACAUAGGAGGGAGCAGCGGAGGGGCGUUGCCGCAACGGGCCGACCGGGCGGGAGGCACCGGCGGGCUCGGGAGGAUGCGUUGCACUCGUCCAGACGGAGAGUAGGCGCCGGGGAAGACCAGGGCAGCCGCGGCUUGAGGCGACAAAGGGCAAGGGCGGGCGGCAGCCGGACUUGGGGGCAGCUGCCACAGGCACUCCGGCGGCGAGAUUGUCACACCGGUGCUGCAUACCACCGUGUGACUGCCAGUUGGCAUGCCAAGUGUAAGCGUGUGUGGUCCCACAUGUAAGCCGCUAGGGCCAGGAGCCAGUAGGUGUGCGUGUGUACUUAAGCCCUGGAGAUGGGCGUGUAUCGCAAGUCUGAAGAAGUAAACUAUUUCCCCUCCUCUGUUUUCUCCUCUGCUCAUCCCCUUCUCCAAGUUUAUCUCAUCCCCCUUCCCCAGAUCCCCUCUCUGCCUACUCUGGUUGCCUGCGACACAGAUCGGGGCGUUACAAUUGGUAAUCAAAGCCUCCGAUCCUGCCCCAAAUUUUUUUUUCGCUGCUGCCUCCUGAUUUGGAUCGGUAACAUCCACCGCCUCGGGUGUGACUUGCUCCGGCGAGAUCACGCAAAAUCCCCGGUGGGGUUCGAUCUAGCAGGGGUGCGAGACGGCACCGUCCAAGCCCUCCGUCCAGACCCGGCAGUUGCUGGCGGCCAUGGACGACAACACCACCAGCCUCAAGGCCAUGAUGGAGACGAUUCUCGCGCGCCUCGACGAACAGAAGGUCGACAGCGACAAGCGGCUCGAGGCGCAGAUCGCCUUCAACACCCAAGUCUCGCAAGAUCUACGCUCCCUCGCCAAGCAAGUCGAUCUCACGCAGGCGGAUGUCGACGAGACUCGCAAGGCGCUGGAGAGAUCGCCCUCACCGUCGGAAUCGCACGCCCCGACCGUGCUCCAUCCACCACCACCACCACCUCCGCGGCCCCAGGCCCCGGCGCCACAGCACCAACAUGGGUCACCGCCGUCUCCGCGCCUCUUAGACCAGCGCCCGCCCCUGUUGGCCACAGCACCACAACCCGGCGUCCAAUCCCAGCACCAGCAGUACCACCAGAUCGGCGAGGCGCACCACCAGCAGCAGCACCACGGUGACCACUACGUCAAGCCGCCGAAGCACGACUUCCCUCGCUUCGAUGGCAGCGCGCCUUACCUCUGGCUCGACCGCUGCCGGGCAUAUUUUGACCUCUACCAUGUGCCGCCCACGAGUUGGGUGACCACGGCGACACUAUACAUUGAAGGGCAAGCGGCUCACUGGCUUCAGGCAUUUCGCCAAACACAUGGCGGACUCGGUUGGAAUGCGUUCUGCGCUGCGAUUCAAGAGGAGUUCGGGGUUGACGAAUUUGAGAUGGAGAUGCACAAAUUGUUGCAGCUCCGUCAGAUUGGCACGGUCAGCGAGUAUCGCAAGGAGUUCGAUACAUACAUGUAUCAUCUCCUGGCACUCGACCCAUCUCUCAGCAACAAAUUCUUCAUCACUCAAUUUUUGCUGGGCCUCAAGGACGAGUUGCGCGCAGCAGUUCGACUGCAGGCGCCCAACAGCAUCACGCGUGCGUCCAUUCUCGCACGCAUUCAAGAGGAGGAGCUGAACACGCCCAGGGCGCAUCCACGGCCGCAGCCGCAGGGCCGCCCACCACCACCGGUGCCCGCCCGGCCGCCGGCCACGCCCCGCCAAUAGCCCGACGACUACGGCCGCGAACGACAACUCAAGGAGUUCCGGCGCGCCAACGGACUCUGCUUCAAGUGCGGAGACCGGUACACUCGGGAUCACCACUGCAACACGCAGGCCCAGCUCCUCACCAUCCAAGUGGGCGCAUACGGGGAGCUGCUCACCGACGACACCGUGCACGCUCUCGACCUGCUCGAUGCACCCCAACAAGAAGCACCCCCUCCAGAGUGUUGCACAAUAUCAGCGCACGCCCUGGAUGGCUCGGAGGCGCCAAGCACAAUCCGUCUCCGCGCGCUUGUGGGCAACCAAGUUAUGCUCCUUCUUCUGGACUCUGGGAGCACCCACAGCUUCGUCAACAAGUCGUUCGUCGAGCGCGUUGGGGCGACAACGCAAGAGAUCGCCACAUUGGAGGUGCGGGUGGCCAACGGCGACCGACUAACCUGCUCGCGCCAAGUUUCGGAGCUCCAGUGGUGGAUGCAGGGCCACACGUUCUCGACGCCGAUGUACGAGCUCGACACAGGCGCAUACGAUGGAAUCCUAGGCAUGGACUGGUUGGAGAAGAACAGCCCCAUGACUUGCCACUGGCAGGAGAAAUUCAUCUCCUUCCUGCACGAGGGCGAGACAGUCAAGCUACAAGGUGUUCGUCCAAAGUCGACACCCACUCUCGCAGCGGUGCAACCGGCAGAACUAUGCAAGUUGAUCGCCGGCAAUGAUAUCUGGGCAAUGGCCAUGGUCGAGAUGCAGCCCCCCAAACCAAGACCACGCAAGCCCUCGCAGACGCCCAUCAACGAUCUCCUGGAAGAAUUCAGCGACGUGUUCACCGCACCCACCGGCUUGCCUCCCCACAGGCAGUAUGAUCACGCGGUCACAUUGGAAGAUGGAGCCCAGUCAACAAACACACGGCCCUACCGCUACUCUCCAUUGCAAAAGGACGAGAUUGAGCGGCAGGUCAAAGAAAUGCUCGACGCCGGUGUGAUCACGCACUCGGUCAGUCCAUACGCGGCGCCAGUUUUGCUUGUGAAGAAGAAGGAUGGCACCUGGCGAUUCUGCGUGGAUUACAGGCGUCUCAAUGACGUGACCGUGAAGAACAAGUUUCCCUUGCCGUCGUCGACGAGCUACUCGAUGAACUUGCCGGAGCGUCUUUCUUCUCCAAGCUUGACCUGCGCGCAGGCUACCAUCAAAUUCGCAUGCGCGAACAGGAUGAACACAAGACAGCAUUCAAAACUCACCACGGCCAUUUCCAAUUCAGAGUCAUGCCAUUCGGGUUGACAAAUGCUCCGGCCACGUUCCAAUGCCUGAUGAACGCUAUCUUCGCCAAGUAUACCCGUAAGUUUGUCAUCAUUUUUCUUGACGACAUCCUUGUUUUCAGUGAGACACUCGAGGACCAUUUGGAACAUCUCCGCAUCAUCCUCAACUUGCUCCGCGAGCACCAGCUAUAUGCCAAGAUGUCCAAGUGCUCGUUCGCGCAAGAUCACAUUGAUUAUCUGGGUCACGUCAUCUCCAAGCAGGGCGUCGCGACUGAUGCUGAGAAGACAGACGCCAUGGCGCAGUGGCCUACUCCAACCAACGCCACCGAGCUCCGUGGCUUUCUGGGGCUCACCGGCUAUUACCGCAAGUUCGUUCCCCACUACGGGAUCAUUGCCAAGCCGCUAACCCAACAGCUCACCAAGAAAGGCUUUGCAUGGCCCGAGUCGGCGCAGCUCGCGUUCGACACGCUCAAGAAGGCGAUGGUGACCACGCCGGUGCUCGCCCUUCCUGACUUUGACAAGCCAUUCUCCAUCGAAACCGACGCCUGCGACACCGGCAUCAGUGCCGUGCUCGUCCAAGACGGCCACCCCAUCGCAUACUACAUCAAGGCGUUGGGCGUGAAGAACCAGAAGCUCUCCACCUACGAGAAAGAGUUCUUGGCCGUCAUGAUGGCCGUGGACAAAUGGCGCUCUUACCUGCAACGCGGGCCGUUCACCAUUGUCACGGACCACAAAAGCUUAUGCACGCUUGGGGACCAGCAUCUGGUGACCGAUGUCCAGCGCCGCGCCAUGUCCAAAUUGGUCGGCCUCCAAUUCAAGUUCCAGUACAAGAAGGGCGUCGACAACAGCGCGGCGGAUGCUCUCUCUAGCGUGGGCAGUCACUACAGCGCCAAUGCUCUGUCCCUCUGCCAGCCAACAUGGAUUCAGGAAGUGGCCAAUUCGUAUGCCACGGAUCCAGAUGCCCAGGAAAAGAUUCAGCAGCUCGCGCUGCACAGUCCGGACGACGAGGAGUACGAGCUGUACCGUGGAGUCAUUCGCCGUCGCGGGUGGCUGUGGAUCGGCGCAAACACAGCCCUGCGCACCAAACUGAUCAGCGCUCUGCAUGACAGUGCCGUGGGGGGCCAUUCUGGCUCGACAGCAACUUACCACCGAGUCAAGAAGCUGUUUGAGUGGAAGGGUCUGAAACAUGAUGUUGAAGAUUAUGUGCGGCAGUGCCAGAUUUGUUAACAGGCGAAGCAUGAAUUGCAUAAACCAGCAGGCAAGUUGGCACCCCUGCCCAUUCCGACAGCCCCGUGGCGUGAUCUGACAAUGGACUUCGUCGAGGGCUUGCCCAAGUCCGAAGGGUAUGACACAAUCAUGGUGGUUGUCGACCGCUUCACCAAGCUUGCACACUUUGUGCCCCUGCGACACCCAUUCACGGCGACACGAGUGGCAAGAGUGUUCUGGGACAACAUCGUCAAGCUGCACGGCAUCCCCUCCUCCAUCGUCUCCGACCGCGACAAAGUGUUCACCAGCGUGCUUUGGCGGGAACUGCUAGCCAGCGCGGGCACCAAGCUCCUCUACUCCACUGCCUAUCACCCCCAGACGGACGGACAAAGCGAGCGCAUGAACCAGUGCAUGGAGAUGUACUUGCGCUGCGCUGUUCACGACACUCCCACGCAAUGGUGUCACUGGCUGCCCUCUGCAGAAUUCUGGUACAACUCCUCUUUCCACUCUUCUCUGGGUUGCUCUCCGUUCAAGGCUCUGUAUGGGGUGGAUGCCAACGAGGGCAGCAUGGCAACAUGGCCGGCAACACAAGCAUCAUUGCCGGAAGGGGAGCAGUGGGAUUGGGCACUGCACAAGGAAAACUUGCAGGCACAGUUGACCCGGGCGCAACAGAAGUACAAAAAGUUUGCAGACAGAAACCGCACUGAGCGCGUCUUUCAGGUUGGGGAGCAAGUACUGCUGAAACUGCAACCCUAUGUGCAGAAAUCGGUGGCCAGCCGCCCGUGCGCCAAGCUGGCGUUCAAGUUCUUCGGACCAUUCACCAUCAGCGCCAAAAUUGGUCCCUCGGCAUACAAGCUGGAGCUGCCGCCCGACAGUCGCAUUCACCCUGUGUUCCAUGUGUCCCAGCUGAAGCCGUUCACACCCAAUUAUACACCAGUGUUCUCCGAACUGCCUGCAACCGUCGACUUAUCAGCAGUGGACUCUAACCCAGUUCAGAUUUUGGAUCGGAGGAUGAUGAAGAGAGGAGACGCACCAGUGGUUCAGGUGCAGGUGGCAUGGAACACAACUCCUCUGUCGACAACCUGGGAAGACUAUGAAGUUCUUCGACGUCGCUAUCCACAGUCACCAAUCUGGGAAGACAGUAACUCCGAAGAAGGGGCCGUUUCUCAAGGCGGGGAGAAUGUCACACCGGUGCUGCAUACCACCGUGUGACUGCCAGUUGGCAUGCCAAGUGUAAGCGUGUGUGGUCCCACAUGUAAGCCGCUAGGGCCAGGAGCCAGUAGGUGUGCGUGUGUACUUAAGCCCUGGAGAUGGGCGUGUAUCGCAAGUCUGAAGAAGUAAACUAUUUCCCCUCCUCUGUUUUCUCCUCUGCUCAUCCCCUUCUCCAAGUUUA
rnacentral:lncRNA from 1 species